rnacentral:rRNA from 1 species
CUCGUAGGCGGUCUGUCACGUCGGGAGUGAAAACUCAGGGCUUAACCCUGAGCCUGCUUCCGAUACGGGCAGACUAGAGGUAUGCAGGGGAGAACGGAAUUCCUGGUGUAGCGGUGAAAUGCGCAGAUAUCAGGAGGAACACCGGUGGCGAAGGCGGUUCUCUGGGCAUUACCUGACGCUGAGGAGCGAAAGUGUGGGGAGCGAACA